UACGUAGGGUGCGAGCGUUAAUCGGAAUUACUGGGCGUAAAGCGUGCGCAGGCGGUUUUGUAAGCCAGGUGUGAAAUCCCCGGGCUCAACCUGGGAAUGGCAUUUGGGACUGCAAGGCUGGAGUGCGGCAGAGGAGACUGGAAUUCCUGGUGUAGCAGUGAAAUGCGCAGAUAUCAGGAGGAACACCGGUGGCGAAGGCGGGUCUCUGGACCGACACUGACGCUGAGGCGCGAAAGCGUGGGGAGCAAACAGG
rnacentral:rRNA from 1 species